UACGUAGGGGGCGAGCGUUGUCCGGAUUCAUUGGGCGUAAAGCGCUUUAAGGCGGUUCGCUAAGUCGGGUGUGAAACCUCCAGGCUCAACCUGGAGACGCCACUCGAUACUGGCGUGACUAGAGUUCGGUAGGGGACCACGGAAUUCCUGGUGUGAGCGGUGGAAAUGACGCAGAUAUCAGGAGGAACACCAGUGGCGAAGGCGGUGGUCUGGGCCGAUACUGACGCUGUAGAGCGAAAGCGUGGGGAGCGAACAGG
rnacentral:rRNA from 1 species